rnacentral:rRNA from 1 species
AACGAACGCUGGCGGCAUGCCUAACACAUGCAAGUCGAACGAGACCUUCGGGUCUAGUGGCGCACGGGUGUGUAACGCGUGGGAACCUGCCCUUAUGUUCGGAAUAACUCCCCGAAAGGGGUGCUAAUACCGGAUAAUGUCUUCGGACCAAAGAUUGAUCGCCUUUGGAUGGGCCCGCGUUGGAUUAGCUAGUUGGUAGUGUAAAAGCCUACCACGGCGACGAUCCAUAGCUGGGUAGAGAGAAUGAUCCGCCACACUGAGACUGGGACGCGGCCGAGACUCCUGCGGGAGGCGGCAAAGCGGGAUAUAGGAAAAUGGGGUGAAGGAUGAUGCAACUAUGCCGGGAGAGUGAUGAAGGCCUUAGGGAAGUAAAGCUCUUUUACCCGGGAUGGUAAUGACAGUACCGGAAGAAUAAGCUCCGGCUAACUCCGUG